AUGGCCUUGAGUUCCCUCCCGCUCCUCGCCCUCCUGGCCCUGCUGGCCCUGCCAGGGCUCCGGGCGGCCGUGACCCUGCUGGAGUGCGGGGGGGACCUCCAGUCCCCCGGGGGGUCCCUGACUCUGCUCUGCCGCGGGUCUGGGUUCAAUUUUGGGAGCCACGACAUGUACUGGAUACGCCAGAGCCCCAGGAAGGCGCUAGAAUGGGUCGCAGGGAUCUACAACGAUGGCAGUUACACCGGUUACGCAUCGUCAGUCAAGGGCCGGUUCUCGAUCUUGAGGAACAACGGGCAGAGCUCGGUGACGCUGACCAUGAACAACCUCAAGGAAGAGGAUUCCGGCAUUUAUUUCUGUGCCAAGGAUGCUUCUGAUGGUUAUAGUAAUGCUUAUCGUGUUGACGGUUUCUGGCCCGUCCAUGUCACUCUUGACUUUCCCCCAAUUUUGCACAGUUCCCCCAAAUCUCCCCCGGCUCCCCCUCCCCUGACUGGCCGAGCUGACGCAGAGAUGACGCCGGCAGAAGCGGUUCGUGCAGAACGUAUCGCUGGUGUUGGUGAUGACGUUGGUGCUCGUUACGUUGAUGAUUUUCACCCGUAG